AGCGAACGCUGGCGGCAGGCCUAACACAUGCAAGUCGAACGAACCCUUCGGACUUAGUGGCGGACGGGUGAGUAACACGUGGGAACGUGCCUUUAGGUUCGGAAUAACUCAGGGAAACUUGUGCUAAUACCGAAUGUGCCCUUCGGGGGAAAGAUUUAUCGCCUUUAGAGCGGCCCGCGUCUGAUUAGCUAGUUGGUGAGGUAAAGGCUCACCAAGGCGACGAUCAGUAGCUGGUCUGAGAGGAUGAUCAGCCACAUUGGGACUGAGACACGGCCCAAACUCCUACGGGAGGCAGCAGUGGGGAAUCUUGCGCAAUGGGCGAAAGCCUGACGCAGCCAUGCCGCGUGAAUGAUGAAGGUCUUAGGAUUGUAAAAUUCUUUCACCGGGGACGAUAAUGACGGUACCCGGAGAAGAAGCCCCGGCUAACUUCGUGCCAGCAGCCGCCGUAAUAC
rnacentral:rRNA from 1 species